AGCGAACGCUGGCGGCAGGCCUAACACAUGCAAGUCGAACGAACUCUUCGGAGUUAGUGGCGGACGGGUGAGUAACACGUGGGAACGUGCCUUUAGGUUCGGAAUAACUCAGGGAAACUUGUGCUAAUACCGAAUGUGCCCUUCGGGGGAAAGAUUUAUCGCCUUUAGAGCGGCCCGCGUCUGAUUAGCUAGUUGGUGAGGUAAAGGCUCACCAAGGCGACGAUCAGUAGCUGGUCUGAGAGGAUGCUCAGCCACAUUGGGACUGAGACACGGCCCAAACUCCUACGGGAGGCAGCAGUGGGGAAUCUUGCGCAAUGGGCGAAAGCCUGACGCAGCCAUGCCGCGUGAAUGAUGAAGGUCUUAGGAUUGUAAAAUUCUUUCACCGGGGACGAUAAUGACGGUACCCGGAGAAGAAGCCCCGGCUAACUUCGUG
rnacentral:rRNA from 1 species